UACGUAGGGGGCUAGCGUUGUCCGGAUUUAUUGGGCGUAAAGAGCGUGUAGGCGGCCAGGUAGGUCUGGUGUGAAAACUCGAGGCUUAACCUCGAGAUGUCAUCGGAAACCAUCUGGCUAGAGUCCGGAAGAGGAAAGUGGAAUUCCUGGUGUAGCGGUGAAAUGCGCAGAUAUCAGGAGGAACACCAAUGGCGAAGGCAGCUCGCUGGGACGUGACUGACACUGAGACGCGAAAGCGUGGGGAGCAAACAGG
rnacentral:rRNA from 1 species